rnacentral:rRNA from 1 species
GACGAACGCUGGCGGCGUGCUUAACACAUGCCAGUCGAACGGAAAGGCCCUGCUUUUGUGGGGUGCUCGAGUGGCGAACGGGUGAGUAACACGUGAGUAACCUGCCCUUGACUUUGGGAUAACUUCAGGAAACUGGGGCUAAUACCGGAUAGGAGCUCCUGCUGCAUGGUGGGGGUUGGAAAGUUUCGGCGGUUGGGGACGGACUCGCGGCUUAUCAGCUUGUUGGUGGGGUAGUGGCUUACCAAGGCUUUGACGGGUAGCCGGCCUGAGAGGGUGACCGGCCACAUUGGGACUGAGAUACGGCCCAGGCUCCUACGGGAGGCAGCAGUGGGGAAUAUUGCACAAUGGGCGGAAGCCUGAUGCAGCAACGCCGCGUGCGGGAUGACGGCCUUCGGGUUGUAAACCGCUUUCGCCUGUGACGAAGCGUGAGUGACGGUAAUGGGUAAAGAAGCACCGGCUAACUACGUG